ensembl:lncRNA
UCCACCCCGCAUUUCCUCGUCUGCUGACCCAGCAAGGCUCUGGGGAAGGCAAGGACUCAGGGACCCCUACCCACAGGUCAGCUUCUAGGAAAGUUGGCAGGGCCAGGAGCCGGGGCACAUGGAAAGGCCAACCUUCACUGCCACUACUUCGGUGCCCGGAAAGGGGAAGAAUGGCAAGUCGAAAAGAGCCACAGCCCUGCUUACCCCCAGCCUUGAGCAGACCAGACCACCUUUGCAUCUGAAGACCCCCAUCACCCAACACACCCAAGGGUCCCGAGGCCCUGUCAUCCACAGGCAAGGCCUUGAUGACUCUGCCAACAGCCAAGGUUUUCAUUUGCUUCCCACCCAACCCUGCUCUCAAGCUGGCACCCAGCAUCUCAAAGCCAAAAAAGGUGGGCCUUGAACUUGGACUCAUCCUGGUGGGCUGCACUAGACACCUGGGUUGGGGUUGGGGGCCCCAGGCACAGGGCAGCUCCCAGAACCCCUUUCCCAGACAGAUCCCUCAUCCUCUCUCUUUUCUCCACUCCAACUGAGGCUGUUCCCCAGUGCCCUCAAGGCCCCCAUCCUGGAAGUGUCUUGUGCCCUGUGUUCUUUGAAGGUGCAGCUCUUCCUAGCAUCCCUAAGAAGGUCAAGGGCAAGUUUAAGGCCAGACAGUGUGACAAACCGAGGCACCCCAGGCCCAGGCAUGCUCUGUGAAGAGGCUUAACCUCCCACAACCCUCACCCCUUGCUUCUACGUUCCAGGGGCCAGCAGUCAAGGGGCCCUGGGGGAUGUGAGGCUGGAGAAAGCCCGGCUCUGACCCCCAUGGCCCUGGCCUGGAUCCAGCCUCAAAUAAAAAGGAGCACAUGGAGUAUUCUGGGUUGACUUCCCUGUACUGGAGGGGGAAGGGUGGGACGAGGCCCCUGCCCCCAAGGUCCAGCCAUGGUGAGAGCUGGAGGCCGGAACUCCCAACAGGGAAGUUGGAGACUUCUGUGCAGGGAUCACACACAUGAGAAACCAAGUCUGGAAAAGGAUAUGUGGCUGGCCCAGUAUGUUGUGAUGUUGUGGCAGUGAGUGGAAAGCAGGGGGCUUUCUCCUGGCCACCAGGAGCUCCCCAGUCCCAGGAGACAGGCUAGGGACAGUAAUGACAGCAGCUGGGGGACAAAGUCAGCCUUGCCUGAACUCACCCCACUUCCAGAGGACAUGGGUCUGUCCUUCCUCUGCAAGAAGUCACGUCACCUAAAAAUGAAUCUUAUUUUUUUUUUGUUUGUUUGUUUUGUUUUGUUACCGGGGAUCGAACUUGGGACCGUGAGCUUGCAAGGCAGGCACUAGAACCACUGAGCUAAAUCCCGGGCCCCCACCUAAAAAUGAAUCUCCAAGCCACAUCCUUGUUAAAAAGUAGGAUAUCUCCUGGUGGUUGUGGGUUGAAUGAUCCCCCCUAAAAAUGUCUAAAGUGUGACUGUGUGCUUGUGUGGGAGUUGUACAGGUACAAUUACAUUGAUGAUAUGAGAGCAUCUAGAAUUAUGAGUGGGCCCUAAACCCAAUGACAAGUGUCCUUAAAAGAGUCAGAAGAAGCCUGGAGUGGUGCCACAUGCCUGUAAUCCCAGC